GGCAGCUGGGCCACGGUGGGCUGGAGACUGAAGCUGAGCCCAGGCCAGAGGAGGCGUUGCAGGGCCUGAGGAUGGCCGAGGUGGCAGCCGGGGGUUGACACUCCGUGUGUGAGCAAGCGGCUGGAGAUGUUUAUGUCUGGGGAUGGAAUGAGUCAGGACAGCUGGCUCUGCCUACCAGGAGCCUGGCGGGAGACACAGGGCAAGGCGCAGGGCUGCAGGAAGAUGGCUUGAAAGAGGAGAGAGCAGCGGGAGACGAGGAUGCAGCCCCUGCUGCCUUCAUAGCUGUACAGCCCCUCCCAGCCUUGUUGGAUCUCCCCCUGGGCGCAGAGGUGGCCAAGGCCAGCUGUGGGUCCCGACACACAGCCGUGGUGACACGUGAGUGGGGCUGGGCACG